AUGUCCCGAGUGCUGCCUCUCCUGUGGGCUUUACUGGUCCAUUUAUCAGGUAUCCUAGCGGUCCCAGUCCUCAAUCAGACACCAAUGUCCGGUCCUGUCUCCGCGGGGUACACCGCCCACUUAGAGUGUCAGAUGCGGAACGGAAAUAUUGCAAGUUACUACAUGCUCUGGUAUCGACAGCGUCCCGGGGAGAGACCGGAGUGGGUAAUUCUGCACGAUCCAGAGGAUGAUGAUCCUACAAACGGAGGGCCUGGGAUCACAAGCCGUUUCCAGCCGUCCGGAGACCUGUCCAACAACAUUCACAUCCUGACCAUCGGCAGCUUGGAUUCCCGGGACUCCGCUGUCUAUUACUGUGCAGUGUGGGAUGAUAAAUAUAUCUUCGGUCCAGGCAUUAUCCUGGAUGUAAAGAGUAGCGAGUCCCGGAGGCCCUCGGUUCUCCUGCUCCCUCCCUCCGCGGUAGAGACCGGCUCAGGUUCGGCUACUCUGUCCUGCCUGGUGAGCGGCUUUAAACCGGGCUUGGUAGCGCUUCGCUGGAGUGUGGAUAACGUCGAGACGGAGAACGGGGUGACCACAGGCACCGUGUCACCGGAUACCGACCAGACCUACAGGCUGAGCAGCUACCUGCGGGUACCCGCCGCUGCCUGGAAAAAAGGUUCCAUUUAUUCCUGCACCGUGAGCUGA